rnacentral:ncRNA from 2 species
CAUCUGACAUAGCAUUCAGGUGCGAUUUGCCGCCAUUCAGAAAUCAGAAAUUUGCAAGUCUGAUGGGGAACCCUGUGAGAAUCAGGGACGGGCCCGCCGCUGUGACCGGGAACGAACGCCGCAUAUGCCACUGUCCUUUGUUGCAUAAGGGACGGGAAGGUUCUUAAUGAUCCGGGAGUCAGAAGACCUGCCUGAAUGAGAAAUACGCC